rnacentral:rRNA from 1 species
GACGAACGCUAGCGGCAGGCUUAACACAUGCAAGUCGAGGGGCAGCACCGGUAGCAAUAGCGGGUGGCGACCGGCGCACGGGUGAGUAACGCGUAUGCAACUUACCUAUCAGAGGGGGAUAACCUGAUGAAAGUCGGGCUAAUACCGGAUGAGACAGGGGUCCGGAAGGGGGGUAUUUGCUAAAGUUGCAUGGUUGAUAGGUAGGCGUGCGUUCACUUAGGCAGUUGGCGGGGUGACGGCACACCAAACCGACGAUGGAUAGGGGUUGUGAGCGGAAGGUCCCUGACAUGGGUACAGGGACACGGACCAAAGGCCUACGGCAGGGAGCAGUCAGGAAUAUUGGUCAGUGGCCGAGAGGCUGAACCAGCGAAGUCGCGUGAGGGAUGGAGGUGCGAGGGAUGUGAAACCUCUUUUAGGAUGGAAUAAAUGGCUGGGCGGGGCCGGUAUUGAAGGUACCUGAUGAAGAAGGACCGGCUAACUCCGUG